rnacentral:rRNA from 1 species
AUUGAACGCUGGCGGCAGGCCUAACACAUGCAAGUCGAACGAGUGGCGGACGGGUGAGUAAUGUCUGGGAAACUGCCCGAUGGAGGGGGAUAACUACUGGAAACGGUCGCUAAUACAGCAUACCAUCGGAUCUGCCAAGAUGGGAUUAGCUAGUAGGUGGGGUAAAGGCUCACCUAGGCGACGAUCCCUAGCUGGUCUGAGAGGAUGACCAGCCACACUUGAACUGAGACACGGUCCAGACUCCUACGUGAGGCAGCAGUGGGGAAUAUUGCACAAUGGGCGCAAGCCUGAUGCAGCCAUGCCGCGUGGAUGAAGAAGGCCUUCGGGUUGUAAAGUACUUUCAGCGGGGAGGCGUUACCCGCAGAAGAAGCACCGGCUAACUCCGUGCCAGCAGCCGCGGUAAUAC